rnacentral:pre_miRNA from 1 species
GGCUUCCUUCUGCAGGGUGAUCGAUCGUGGAGCCCCUGCCCCCCCCAUUGAUUGCCCUGCAGAGGGUGGCC